AGAUUAAGUUAUUAAGGGCGCACGGUGGAUGCCUUGGCACUAGAAGCCGAUGAAGGACGUUACUAACGACGAUAUGCUUUGGGGAGCUGUAAGUAAGCUUUGAUCCAGAGAUUUCCGAAUGGGGAAACCCAGCAUGAGUUAUGUCAUGUUAUCGAUAUGUGAAUACAUAGCAUAUCAGAAGGCACACCCGGAGAACUGAAACAUCUUAGUACCCGGAGGAAGAGAAAGAAAAAUCGAUUCCCUUAGUAGCGGCGAGCGAAACGGGAAGAGCCCAAACCAACAAGCUUGCUUGUUGGGGUUGUAGGACACUCUAUACGGAGUUACAAAGGACGACAUUAGACGAAUCAUCUGGAAAGAUGAAUCAAAGAAGGUAAUAAUCCUGUAGUCGAAAAUGUUGUCUCUCUUGAGUGGAUCCUGAGUACGACGGAGCACGUGAAAUUCCGUCGGAAUCUGGGAGGACCAUCUCCUAAGGCUAAAUACUCUCUAGUGACCGAUAGUGAACCAGUACCGUGAGGGAAAGGUGAAAAGCACCCCGGAAGGGGAGUGAAAUAGAACCUGAAACCGUGUGCUUACAAGUAGUCAGA
rnacentral:rRNA from 1 species